CCCCCCCAACAGAACCCCUUAGACAUUCCUCCAAAGCAGAUCCCCCCCUGUCUUUUGUUGGGUUGCUCUAGUUGUCUCAUGCUUUCUUUUUUACUGCUUUGAAGCAGGUGAUGACAAAAAGCUAAAAGCAUCAAUCUCCCAUGUGUGUGUGUCGCGUACGCACGCUACAGGGUAACCACACUCCCUCCCAGCCUCCAUACAGGGUAACCACACACACCCCAGCUUCUCUACAGGGUAACCACCCUUUCGCUUCUCUACAGGGUAACCACACACCCCCAGCCUCCAUACAGGGUAACCACACACACCCCAGCCUCUCUACAGGGUAACCACACAUCCCCAGCCUCCAUACAGGGUAACCACACUCCCCCCCAGCCUCCAUGCAGGGUAACCACACUCCCCCCAGCCUCUAUACAGGGUAACCACACUCCCCCUGCAUGCAGGCUGGAGGCUGGCUAAAAAUGAAAACAAUUUACACCAGCCAGCGAAAGAAUGCACAAGAUUUAGCAUCAGACUGAAAUGGGUUGUCGGUUCGAUCCCAGGAUCUGCUAACCCGCAUGUCGUUGUGUCCUUGGGCAAGACACUUAACCCAACAUUGCUCCUGUAGCUGUGACUACAGUGUGUGGAUGGUAGUUACUGAUGGCAGGUGUCACUGUGUGUGGUUCUCCUGUCAUCAGUGUGUGAAUGGGUGUGAAUGGGUGAAUGAUGUCAUGUAGUGUUAAAGCGCUUUGAGUGGUCAGAAGACUAGAAAAGCGCUAUACAAGUACAGGCCAUUUACCAUUUAGCCCCCCCCCCCCAGCCUCCAUGCAGGGGAACCACACCUUCUCUGCUUGCUGGAUCAACACUGAAGGGGGAGCUGAAGGACAAGUGCACAUUGUGCGCUUUUGUCGUAAUCGUGUUUUGAUUGGAUUAGAAUGUGGGAUUUUUCCGUAUCUGCCGCGCUCCGUGUGCCAUAUGGCGUGAUGGAUGCCAGUUAGCGACAGAGCCAGAGUCAGGUGUGAGUUUGAUUGCUUUUGUUGGCUGAGCAGAGCUUCUCCUUGGCCCGCCACGGUCCUUCAAACCAGGGCUGUGGUCGUACAGUUGGAGUAGUCCAAAUGGGGGCCGAGGCGGGGUCAAAGUGCCCAUUGAACAGGGUUCAUACCUUCGUCUUAAAGCUGCAGUGUGCUCCGUAUUCUUUUGUUAACGGUGGUAGAAAAUGACUCUCCUCAGACCGCCUCGGCGUCUUUCAACCUGUUAUCCUGAGCUGGGCUUUUGAGCCGCGACAAAAGGCAUAGUUUAACCCGAAUCGGAGGAGGUAAAGUUACCACAACAUUUGUGCAAGAGAAGCAGUGAUGCUACAAAACUGUGGGGAAAAUACCUGUGUGAGCAACUACAACUGGCGGACUGAUGGCUCCAGUAGUUGUAAAUUAUCCACGGACGGACAAACAGAUGCUCACACACACUCACACACAAACACAACAAAACACGUGAUCUCCCCACAGAAGGAACCUGGCGGAGAUUAAAAAGUAACAAGACUAGAAAUGAUCGUUUGUGUCCCUUGUGUCUGCUGGAUGUGUAACCACCAUAAACGUGUGGACUGUUGUUACGAAGCUUCGCCCCGUCGGGUUCCGACCGACACCAUUAUUCAUUUUUAAACCAGUGAAUGGAAGUUCCCACAUCUGGCGGAGGAGUGAUGUGGAGGUGCCGUAUACAGCUGUGGAAGCAGCAACAUACCUGUCAAUCACAAAGCAUUUCCCUGCUUGAUGUUCUAUUUGACUCUAAAUGGACCAUUAUUCACAAAAUCAACAUCAUGCUGUGUUGAAGAAGACAAACCUAGAGAUUGAGAUGAACUCAUU
ensembl:lncRNA